UACAGAGGGUGCAAGCGUUGUUCGGAAUUAUUGGGCGUAAAGGGCGCGUAGGCGGUUCGGCAAGUCUCUAGUGAAAUCUCAGGGCUCAACUCUGAGUCUGCUGGGGAAACUGCCGGGCUUGAGUGUGGGAGAGGAGAGUGGAAUUCCCGGUGUAGCGGUGAAAUGCGCAGAGAUCGGGAGGAACACCGGUGGCGAAGGCGGCCAGCUGGCGCUGACCUGACGCUGAGGCGCGAAAGCUAGGGGAGCAAACGGG
rnacentral:rRNA from 1 species